ensembl:lncRNA
GUUCGUUCUUGUUAUAAGCCUGUGGUAUAAAAAAAUGAUGCAUAAAAGCAAAAAGCAGAUUAUAUGAACCGUUUUGUAAUGGAACACUUUUCUUCUUUUGCAGAAGCCACUAACAAAACAAACCAAAUAAGCGAUGGAUGACGACAUGCCUCUCUCAGUUCAAGUGGUGCACCACUCAACAGUUCAACUGUUUUCUCAAAACAGUACAGGACGUUUAAUACUUACUGUUCUGAUAGAUUACGUGGAAGAACCCAACUCUAUAAUACAUUGUGGGGCAGGUGACUCAGUCAUCCUGCCGGGCAUGAUUGGUGAUGGCACUGCAGUAGCCAUCAAAAAGAGCCCUAUGACUGAAGAAUCAAUCAAUGAAAUGACACUUCAUGACUUAAAUAACUCCAGCAUUAUACAAUAUAAAUUUAGUGCUAGUUGUUCAGGCUUCACAUAUCUCGUUAUGGAGCUUGUAGAACAAACACUAGAGAAAAACAUCAAGAAUUACUCCCCAAAGGAAAGGAAACAAAUUCUGAAGACCUUUCUGCACGGGUUAUCUUACCUUCAUGAGAAGAAGAUUAUUCACGGUGAUGUUAAACCUCAGCAUGUUCUAGUGGACAAAAAUGCAACUGCCAAACUAAUUGAUUUCAAAAAGAGUAAAGGAGUGGAGGAUGGUGAUAUCAAGAUCCAAGAAGAAAUCAAGAAAGCUGCUAAUGUGGCAUAUUAUAUCCUCUCUGGUGGAGAGUCUUACCCUCAGUCUGACGGUGAUGGCAGCUGGAGUAACAAGUGCCUCAUCCUGGACCUCAUUGAGGGCAUGAUCCGCUCAGGAAGUCUGGAGUAUGCUCUCCACCACCCCAUCUUCUGGUCCGAGAUCCGACAGACGUGGUACCUGCAGGCUGUGGGGAACUUCAUAAUUCAUAGUAAAUAUGACGAAGGGGUCAAACGGAAACUCAUCAAAGCAUCCAAGGGCAAGUCUUUCAUGACGUGGCGACAACAGGUGGAAAAAGAUUUUGCUGGGCUUUUGGAGGGCAUGGAUAAGUAUUUGAAGACCCCCUACCCGGACAAUACAUGGGGGCUUCUGCGCUUCAUACGCAAUGUGUACCAACACAGAGCUGAGCUGGCCCUGUCCAUGAAGUUCACCUCACCUCACCUGACCUCUUUGAGACCGUCUACUUAUUUGCUGAGGAGAUGGGCUGGAACUCCAGGAGAUCUCUACAGGACAUCUUCACCGAAUGGGAGAGUCUUUGGCGUCACUGUGUUAUGACCUCUAUGUUUUACUGUCAUUUUCCCUGUUAAACACACGGGUUUUAAUCUGUUUAAGAGAUUUGAGAGAGAACUUAUUUGUGAAUUGGUAAAAAUAUAAUUUUGUGACUUGUAGAGAAUUUCUUUGGUCCAUUCAUCCAUUUCACAGCUGGCAUUUUCAAAUUAUGUAGAAAAAGGUAACGAUGCCAGAUUUUGCCCAAACAGAAAUGAGAGUUUUCAGAACAAAACCUCGUAUCUCCAUUUGUGAAAACGCCUGUUGUCCUUUAUAUUGUGUGUAAAUUUCAUGAUGAAUGGACAAAAAGAAACGGCCCAAAAUGAUGUGGAAAACAUUCUGGUUCCAUCGACUUACAUUAAAAGUAAAUGAGGUUUUUUCCUUCUCCUGUAAAGUUCCCAUUCUGGAGAUAUGAAGUUCUUCCAACAGCAGCAAUAAGUAAUGCUAUAAAUAACUACUUAUAUGCUCCUAAUGUUAAACGUGUAGAACACUGGACAACUUGUUUUCCAGAUUUUCUAGCUCUUUAGCAGCAGAUACGUCAUCUCACUCACUUCUUUCUGUUUGUAAUUUUUUAGAACCACCACAGUUUGGCCGAAGGGGGCGGUUCCACUGCAGCAGAGCCGUUUGUCCUGCACUGGCUGAAGCCAAUUUGCUGCCAAAUCCCGACCAGACCCCCAGCCUAACCCUGACCCUACAUUCAGAUCAGUCACUUUCAUUUCUGAAAUAAUUUCACUGCUAAAACCAUUUUUUCCAUCUUUUACACUUCCACUUUUUAAAUAGUUACUUUUAUUUAACGUUUCAAAAUGUGGCAGUUAACCCCAGUAUUGAAUGUCGCUGCCGCGUCCGGUCACUCCUCACUCGACACUCGGCUGAGACAGAGAGGAUGGAGAUAAAGUUUACAUCCAAACGUUUUUAUGAAGGAAUUUUUAUGAAGCUGCCAAGACGACAUUGAUUGUGAUUGUGAAAACUAUUCGCUCUUUAGAGAAAUGAGAGUUUAUACUUUUACAAAAGUAUUUAUUAAUCUUAUUCGGUCAAAUGUUCUGUGUGUUCGUGUCCUUUCAGUGUUUUGAUGACUAUAAAUAUGUUUAGAUGCUUGCAGAUUUCAUACAGGGCACUGAAUAUUUUAGUUUACUGUUAUGCAGUAAGGGCUCACUUGUAAUGAUUUUGGUGACACUUUCUCUGAAUUUCACCUUUGUCAGCAUCUAUAAACACAUUCAUAACAUGUUAUAAUGCAUUCAUAAGGCAUUAUAAAACAUGGCUAUAAAUAUUUAUAAAAAUGCAUUCUAUGUUAUAGCCAUGCUUAUUAUGCAUUAUGAAUUGUUAAUGCUUUAUAAGUGCUGUUCAUAACACAUUAUAAGAGCUCAUAAGCUGUAUUAGUCCGGUCUGUGUAAAGUGGAGCGUACUGGACUAAAGCCUCCUCCAGGGUUCAGACUGAGGCUUCAAGUUGAAGAAUUUACUGAAGGAUUUACUGAAACACUAAAACACAAUAAGCUCAUUACAGGCUUCAAAUGUCAGAGUUUAAACUAGAGCAACAUCAGAGUUUCACCCAAUGUGGGAAAGUCAAUGUUCACCACUGUUUCACCACUGAGGGGCUCACUUCUUUGGCACUGACAGUAUAACAUGUGUGGAUUUUUACGUCUUUAGUAGCAUACUUUUGAGUAUUAAUGUUUGUGGUCGCACACUUUUGAGUAUUAAAGUUUGUAGUAGUAUACUUUUGAGUAUUAAAGUUUGUAGUAGUAUACUUUUGAGUAUUAAUGUUUGUGGUCGCACACUUUUGAGUAUUAAAGUUUGUAGUAGUAUACUUUUGAGUAUUAAAGUUUGUAGUAGUAUACUUUUGAGUAUUAAUGCUUGUAGUAGUAUACUUUUGAGUAUUAAAGUUUGUAGUAGUAUACUUUUGAGUAUUAAUGUUUGUAGUAGUAUACUUUUGAGUAUUAAAGUUUGUAGUAGUAUACUUUUGAGUAUUAAUGUUUGUGGUCGCACACUUUUGAGUAUUAAAGUUUGUAGUAGUAUACUUUUGAGUAUUAAAGUUUGUAGUAGUAUACUUUUGAGUAUUAAUGCUUGUAGUAGUAUACUUUUGAGUAUUAAAGUUUGUAGUAGUAUACUUUUGAGUAUUAAUGUUUGUAGUAGUAUACUUUUGAGUAUUAAAGUUUGUAGUAGUAUACUUUUGAGUAUUAAUGCUUGUAGUAGUAUACUUUUGAGUAUUAAAGUUUGUAGUAGUAUACUUUUGAGUAUUAAUGUUUGUAGUAGUAUACUUUUGAGUAUUAAAGUUUGUAGUAGUAUACUUUUGAGUAUUAAUGUUUGUAGUAGCACACUUGAGUAUUAAAGUUUGUAGUAGUAUACUUUUGAGUAUUAAAGUUUGUAGUAGUAUACUUUUGAGUAUUAAAGUUUGUAGUAGUAUACUUUUGAGUAUUAAUGCUUGUAGUAGUAUACUUUUGAGUAUUAAAGUUUGUAGUAGUAUACUUUUGAGUAUUAAUGUUUGUAGUAGUAUACUUUUGAGUAUUAAAGUUUGUAGUAGUAUACUUUUGAGUAUUAAUGCUUGUAGUAGUAUACUUUUGAGUAUUAAAGUUUGUAGUAGUAUACUUUUGAGUAUUAAUGUUUGUAGUAGUAUACUUUUGAGUAUUAAAGUUUGUAGUAGUAUACUUUUGAGUAUUAAUGUUUGUAGUAGCACACUUGAGUAUUAAAGUUUGUAGUAGUAUACUUUUGAGUAUUAAAGUUUGUAGUAGUAUACUUUUGAGUAUUAAAGUUUGUAGUAGUAUACUUUUGAGUAUUAAAGUUUGUAGUAGUAUACUUUUGAGUAUUAAAGUUUGUAGUAGUAUACUUUUGAGUAUUAAUGUUUGUAGUAGCACACUUGAGUAUUAAAGUUUGUAGUAGUAUACUUUUGAGUAUUAAAGUUUGUAGUAGUAUACUUUUGAGUAUUAAAGUUUGUAGUAGUAUACUUUUGAGUAUUAAAGUUUGUAGUAGUAUACUUUUGAGUAUUAAUGCUUGUAGUAGUAUACUUUUGAGUAUUAAUGCUUGUAGUAGUAUACUUUUGAGUAUUAAUGUUUGUAGUAGCACACUUUUGAGUAUUAAAGUUUGUAGUAGUAUACUUUUGAGUAUUAAAGUUUGUAGUAGCACACUUGAGUAUUAAAGUUUGUAGUAGUAUACUUUUGAGUAUUAAAGUUUGUAGUAGUAUACUUUUGAGUAUUAAAGUUUGUAGUAGUAUACUUUUGAGUAUUAAUGCUUGUAGUAGUAUACUUUUGAGUAUUAAUGCUUGUAGUAGUAUACUUUUGAGUAUUAAUGUUUGUAGUAGUACACUUUUGAGUAUUAAAGUUUGUAGUAGUAUACUUUUGAGUAUUAAAGUUUGUAGUAGUAUACUUUUGAGUAUUAAAGUUUGUAGUAGUAUACUUUUGAGUAUUAAUGUUUGUAGUAGCAC